rnacentral:rRNA from 1 species
AUGAAGAGGCGGAAGGGAAUUUGGAUCGAGAUCAACAACUGCGAGGAGGGGGAGGGGAGCGAGAGGGGUAGCGUGGUGGCCAGCAAGGGGAGCACCAUCACGGGAGCCGCGUCCUCCCGGUCCACGGCCAUGUCGGGGAGAUGCCGCCGACCUCCGCUGGCGAGCGGCGGCUGUGAGAGCCUGGUGCGGAGGGCGGACUCGAUCAUGAAGUCACUCUCGUGGUCCAAGGCGGUGCCGGUCACGGAGACGGCCAUCCGCGCCGCCGUUGGCGACAACGCUGUAACUAGCAAGGCUGUGCGCUGGUUGCUGAAGCAGAAGAGAGGGUUGCGUCGUGCGGGCACUGGUGGCCGCCCGGAUCCGUAUGUGUACAUGGUACGUGAAAUCUGUGCCACACAGUUUGCGUUUGGAUGA